rnacentral:rRNA from 1 species
AACGAACGCUGGCGGCAUGCCUAACACAUGCAAGUCGAACGAGACCUUCGGGUCUAGUGGCGCACGGGUGCGUAACGCGUGGGAACCUGCCCUUAGGUUCGGAAUAACUCCCCGAAAGGGGUGCUAAUACCGGCUAAUGUCUUCGGACCAAAGAUUUAUCGCCUUUGGAUGGGCCCGCGUUGGAUUAGCUAGUUGGUAGGGUAAAAGCCUACCAAGGCGACGAUCCAUAGCUGGUCUGAGAGGAUGAUCAGCCACACUGGGACUGAGACAGGGCCCAGACUCCUCCAGGAGGCAGCAGUGGGGAAUAUUGGACAAUGGGCGAAAGCCUGAUCCAGCAAUGCCGUGUGAAUGAUGAAGGCCUGAGGGUUGUAAAGCUCUUUUACCCGGGAUGAUAAUGACAGUACCGGGAGAAUAAGCGCCGGCUAACUCCGUG